rnacentral:rRNA from 1 species
AAUAGCCUAACGGCUGAACCAGCAACUUGGAGGAAUGAAUAGCAAUAGCUAAUUGCACAAAUAUAUGAUGCAAUAUCGACUCAGUCGAAUAAAAUUCUGGCUAGAAUUAUGAUAAUGACAUUAUCUAGCCAUGUGUCUUGACCAAAUUACGUGCCAGCAGUCGCGGUAAUACGUAGAAGACUAGUGUUAUUCAUCUUUAAUAGGUUUAAAGGGUACCCAGACGGUAAAUCAAGCCUUAGACGGGACUAAUUUACUAGAGUUACUUACGCGGGGGUUUUAAAGUACUAAUGGUGUAGAGAUAAAAUUUCGUAAUACCAUUUUUCGAAAGAAAAGUUAUGGCACUGGUAAAGGCGAAAGCAUCCCCUUAUGUGAUAACUGACGUUGAAGGACGAAGGCUUUGGAUCGCGAAUAGGAUUAGAUACCCUAGUAGUCGAAGCAGAAAAUUAUGAGUGUUAUAAAUUAGAGAUUUACUUUAUUUUAUAAAUGAAAGUGUAAGCACUCCACCUCAAGAGUAAUUUGGCAACAUUGAAACUGAAAUCAUUAGACCGUUUCUGAAACCAGUAGUGAAGUAUGUUGUUUAAUUUGAUAAUCCGCAAAAAACCUUACCACAGCUUGAAUAUUUAUAUUUUUGAUAUAUUUACAAGCGUUGCACGGCUGUCUUCAGUUAAUGUCGUGAGACUUUGGUUAGAUCCAUUAAAUUAACGUAAGCCCUUACUUUAUUUACAAAUAAAGUAGUUCCCCACUAUAUUGGAUAUGAUAACAGGGAUUAAGACAAGUCAUCAUGGCCUGAAUGCUGU